UACGUAGGGGGCAAGCGUUGUCCGGAUUUAUUGGGCGUAAAGAGCGUGUAGGCGGCUUUACAGGUCCGUUGUGAAAACUCGAGGCUCAACCUCGAGACGCCGGUGGAAACCGUAAAGCUAGAGUCCGGAAGAGGAGAGUGGAAUUCCUGGUGUAGCGGUGAAAUGCGCAGAUAUCAGGAAGAACACCCGUGGCGAAGGCGGCUCUCUGGGACGGUACUGACGCUGAGGCACGAAGGUCAGGGGAGCAAACGGG
rnacentral:rRNA from 1 species